CCUACGGGUGGCUGCAGUGGGGAAUAUUGCACAAUGGGGGAAACCCUGAUGCAGCGACGCCGCGUGAGUGAAGAAGUAUUUCGGUACGUAAAGCUCUAUCAGCAGAGAAGAAAAUGACGGUACCUGACUAAGAAGCCCCGGCUAACUACGUGCCAGCAGCCGCGGUGAUACGUAGGGGGCAAGCGGUAGCCGGAUUUACUGGUUGUAAAGGGAGCGUAGACGGCAGCGGCAGUCUGAAGUGAAAUGCCAUGGCUUAACCAUGGAACUGCUUUGGAAACUGUGGAGCUGGAGUGCAGGAGAGGUAAGCGGAAUUGCUGGUGUAGCGGUGAAAUGCGUAGAUAUUAGGAGGAACACCAGUGGCGAAGGCGGCUUACUGGACUGUAACUGACGUUGAGGCUCGAAAGCGUGGGGAGCAAACAGGAUUAGAUACCCCAGUAGUC
rnacentral:rRNA from 1 species